UGUGUUGAUCAGCAUUGAAUUAGACAGAGGCCUGGCUGUUUGCUGGGAGCUGAUCAUACUCACUGAAUACCACUGCAUCAUCUCUUCCAGAGUGCAGAAAACCAGCUGAACAAAUGGACAUGUGCAGGAGAAACAGUGAGCUGAGAGACACAGGUUCACCUCUCUGCUCAGGCUCAGACCUCCUGUGAGAUCCUGUUCAGCUGUGUUUCCCAGUGGAUUUCAGCCAGCUGCUGGGGACUGCUGCUACCUCGAGUCCUUUCAGAUGGGUCACGGGUCUGGCUAAAGAAAGUUGAAACAAAGCAAACAAAACGUAGAUGACCUUUCUGCCUACCUGACUCCACCUGCUUCAAUAACACAUUGUGCCGUCAACUAAUUCCACCUAAAUUUGGAACCGCAUACUUAAAGACAUCAUGGAACUGAAGAGUCAGGGGAGAGACUUUAUCAGGAGUCUUGUUGGCCUCGCUGCAAGCUCAACCCUAAACCAGACCUCAAAGAUUUUCAUCCUGGAGACAACGCCACAGGAUCCAAUCUCCCCUCGCAGAGCCCCUCAGUGCCUUCCUGGGUCCAUCUGGAUUUGUCCAUGGGUGUUUCCUGUAAACCCCAUUACUUUCUCAGUGUGAAAAACAUGUCUAGACCAAACAGCCGCUUCAGAUUUAAUGUGUGAGUGAUGACUUGAAUAAGAACCCAGCCACAGCAGCACAGUGUCAGCCAGCACCAGGAAGCCUUUGGAAGAGAGGCCCAGCCCUGGUCUGCUAGUGAGUAAGAGAAAGGGUUCUGCACACUAUGACCAGGUAGCCCUUUCCCACCUAAUGAGCCCUGUGGAAGGGUCCUGUAGCCUCAUCUAUCAUUUAAAAAGUCAUUCUGUUCUGCAGAGCAGGCAGCAGCUCCCAUGUGGGCUAUACCUCAGCAGUUGUAACUCACCCCAGUUUAUAAAUAAGAUGUUUUCCCUUGACUGCCAGGUCGCAGUGACAUCUACCAGGCAAGCUGCGAUCUCUAUGGCCUGUGAAUCAUCGCUGAUAACGGUGAUCCCGCUGUCUGACUCCUGCCUUUACCAGCUGUACAGCACCAGAGUUUGAGGAUGCACCCAGAGAGAGCUCCCUGGCACUACAGUAAGGGAAAUUGUCUCUUCCUUCUGGAGGACAGCCCAGACAGAGACUACCUGUGAGGGAUGCUUUUAUGGACAGAAGGAUAGUACAGGUUACCUUCACUGUCCCUGGAAGAACUGUUCACAGCCUGGCCUGUGUGCAAUAGUCUCCAGCAAAACGGGGGAAAUUUUGGCUGUUCUUUGGGUCUCAGUAUCUCCGGCUCCUCCAUCUGGAACAUCAGCAUCUUGGCCUCCAUCCCUGGGAUGUUUCCCUGCUCAGUUCAGACUCAGCUGCCAGCAGAAGCACAGAGACACAAAGCAGCAGUGGCACCGACACAUGGGAAGUCUAAUGAACAUAGCACUGACCAGCUCUUUGGCAGAGGAUGGAGAUGUCCUCUUCCAAGCUGUCCUAGUUGCCAGGGGUUUGCCCUCUCAUUGCCUCUUUUGGACACUCUGCAGGAGCAGUAGCAUCACAGUGAAGUCAAGCUACCAAUUUAAACUUGAAGCUAUUUUCUCUAACAUUGUCUGAAGAAGGGGCUUCAACAGCAGCCGUCCUCGACACAGCUAGCUGCAGAAGGUAACUGUUGUCCAUAGCAUAAGUUGUGUACUUGCAUCAUCCCUUACUCCCAUCCCUUCUGUGGUUGCUCCAGCAGACUGUUAACAACAGCUCAAUAUGCAGUAGCAUAAACCACAUCAGGACACAGUUUGCUCUAUGUGGAGCUACAAAUGUAGCUUGGUUCCAGCUAAUGCCCUUAUAUGACCUGAUCUUUAUAAAACCUCAUCGUAAACAUGCACCACUUGUUCAAAACCUCACAUAAACAGAAAAUCCAGAGUUCAAAAGUUGUAACUUUGGUGAGGCAGGGGAGGGGAAAAACAGCUGUGAGUUUUUAGGUGAAAAUCCAGGAGCAUUUGACUGUGGUUUUGCAGAUGUGAUUUCUAUGCUGCGUUCUGUUUGGAGGGUGCAGUUCAGCAUCUGCCACCAUCCUCCUUCAAGCCCCUAAGUAUGGCUCAUGGAAAUGAGAUUGAAGGAUAUUAAAAAUUCCUAGAGGAGCUAAGGAGAGAUAAUCAGGAUUAGUGUGCUGACAAUGGGGGAAGAGGCUGAAAGCGUGAGGGGGUGGCUAUGGCCAGGGUUGCCAAAAUGUGUGUCAUUGCAUUUCCAGAGUUGUCAUUAAGGCAAAUCCAGUCUUCUGGCUGAAGAUGUGAACUGUUUUAAUAAUAAAGUCAUUGGGAUUACAAUCAGAAGCUAAGAAAACAAGGGCAUUUGCUCAGGCCUAUAUGUAAUAAUGCUCUGGGUAGUU